rnacentral:rRNA from 1 species
GGCGUCAAUGCACACGCCAUCAUUUCGGCAGUCUGCGUCUAUAGGCGAAAGUCUAUACGUGACUGUCAAGUUUACCUUAAAUAAAUUAAAAUGCUCAAAAUAAGCGUAUGCUUGAAUAUCAUAUUAUGGAAUAAUGAAAUAGGACUUCGGUUCUUUUUGUUGGUUAUUGAAUCGGAGUAAUGAUUAAUAGGGAUAAUCUCGGGGGCAUUCGUAUUUCUGCGGGAGAGGUGAAAUUCUAUGAUCGCAGAAGGACGCCCUAAAGCGAAAGCAUUUGCCAAGAAUGUCUUCGUUAAUCAAGAACGAAAGUCAGAGGAUCGAAGGCGAUUAGAUACCGCCCUAGUUCUGACCGUAAACGAUACCAUCUAGCGAUCCGAUAGGGUCUAUCUAGCCUUGUCGGGGAGCUUCCCGGAAACGAAAGUCUUUCGGUUCCGGGGGUAGUAUGGUUGCAAAGCUGAAACUUAAAGAAAUUGACGGAAGGGCACCACCAGGAGUGGAGCUUGCGGCUUAAUUUGACUCAACACGGGAAAACUCACCCGGUCCGGACACCGUAAGGGAUUGACAGACUGAUAGCUCUUUCUUGAUUCGGUGGUUGGUGGUGCAUGGCCGUUCUUAGUUGGUGGAGUAAUUUGUCUGGUUUAUUCCGAUAACGAGCGAGACUCUAGCCUGCUAAAUAGAACGAGGAUAAACCUUUUCAUAGGUCCUCGAUGCUUCUUAGAGGAAUUAGCGG